AUUGAACGCUGGCGGCAGGCUUAACACAUGCAAGUCGAGCGAGCGGCGGACGGGUGAGUCAUGUCUGGGAACCUGCCUGAUGGAGGGGGAUAACUACUGGAAACGGUAGCUAAUACCGCAUACCAUCAGAUGUGCCCAGAUGGGAUUAGCUAGUAGGUGGGGUACUGGCUCACAUAGGCGACGAUCCCUAGCUGGUCUGAGAGGAUGACAAGCCACACGGGAACGGAGAAAAGGUCCAGAGUCAGACGGGAGGCAGCAGUGGGGAAUAGUGCACAAUGGGCGCAAGCCUGAGGCAGCCAUGCCGCGUGUGUGAAGAAGGCCUUCGGGUUGUAAAGCACUUUCAGCGAGGAGGCGUUACUCGCAGAAGAAGCACCGGCUAACUCCGUGCCAGCCGCCGCGGUAAUAC
rnacentral:rRNA from 1 species